rnacentral:rRNA from 1 species
GGGUUGUGAGGUUAAGCGACUAAGCGUACACGGUGGAUGCCCUGGCAGUCAGAGGCGAUGAAGGGCGUGCUAAUCUGCGAUAAGCGCCGGUAAGGUGAUAUGAACCGUUAUAACCGGCGAUACCCGAAUGGGGAAACCCAGUGUGAUUCGUCACACUAUCAUUAACUGAAUCCAUAGGUUAAUGAGGCGAACCGGGGGAACUGAAACAUCUAAGUACCCCGAGGAAAAGAAAUCAACCGAGAUUCCCCCAGUAGCGGCGAGCGAACGGGGAGGAGCCCAGAGCCUGAAUCAGCAUGUGUGUUAGUGGAAGCGUCUGGAAAGGCGCGCGA